rnacentral:rRNA from 1 species
GGGACACGUGAAACCCUGUGGGAAGCAGGAGGGACCACCCUCCAAGGCUAAAUACUACCUAGUGACCGAUAGCGUAUAGUACCGUGAGGGAAAGGUGAAAAGAACCCCGGGAGGGGAGUGAAAUAGAACCUGAAACCCUGCACUUACAAGCUGUGGAAGCACAUUUCUUGUGUGACCGCGUACUUUUUGUAGAACGGGCCAACGAGUUACGUUAAGUAGCAAGGUUAAGCACUUAAGGUGUGGAGCCGUAGCGAAAGCGAGUUUUAACUGAGCGUUCAGUUACUUGACGUAGACCCGAAACCGGGCGACCUACCCAUGAGCAGGAUGAAGCGAAAGUAAAAUUUCGUGGAGGUCCGAACCCACGAGCGUUGAAAAGCUCGGGGAUGACUUGUGGGUAGCGGUGAAAUUCCAAUCGAGCCCGGAGAUAGCUGGUUCUCCCCGAAAUAGCUUUAGGGCUAGCCUCAAGGUGAGAGAUACGGAGGUAGAGCACUG